rnacentral:lncRNA from 1 species
AUUAUGUAUAUCUCUUUCAUAUUCAUUUGUUAAAAUUUACUGUUUGCAAUAGCAUGAAUUGUUCUAUAUAAUAAGAAUGUUCUUAUCCUGGGCAUACAAACAAUGCCGUAUUUGGCAAAACCUUUUCAACUUUUGAUCUUCAGUGCUGUACAACUUUGUACUUUUUUCACUUUCGAUCUUUUAUAUCUGGGCGUCACUGGUGAGUCUUGUGUGGACAAGACGCGAGUUU